CUGGAGAUGAUGAACUCUGCGAGCCUGUCCCAGCUGAGAGCCUGGGUUUGUGAGCUGCAACACAUAUCUGGUGAGCGGAGCCAGCUCGGGACAGAGGCUGUUCCGGGCUGUGCAAGGGGACUGUGUGUGAGGAUUAGUGAGAGGAAAUGAAAAUUGGGGAUGGCCCUCAGGGGAAUUGAGUACAGAUGAUGUCAGAGAGGAGGUGGCCUCCUGGAGAGCAAGGGACCCGGAUGGCUGCAGAAUGGCGUGGUGGGAGGGGGACAGGAGGUGUGGGAAGGAGGGGCUAUCUCUACUGUCCCCAGCAGUGAGGCAAGGCAGCUACCUUUAGGCCCCACUCAGCCCACCUGGCUCUUUGACCCCUAGCCGCCUCCUAGCUCUCCUGGCGCCUGGGGACCUGGGGAGGUGCAUUCCUGUGGAGGCCCUCAGGCUGGGAAGGCUGGGAGGAGGGGACCUCAGGACGGCUUUCACCUCCUGGCAGCACACUUCACAGCUUGCGCAGGGCUGGCUUCUCCCUGCAGGGUCUCUGAGUCACUUCGUACAGUGGGUCCUAUCAUUCCUGCUUUUCGGAAGAGGAAACUGAGGCUCAGGGAGCUAGGAAGUCACCUCUUUCAGAUCGCUCAGCUAGUCAGCUACAGAACCUCUAUUUGAACUCUGAAGCCCAAGCUUUUUCUGUUCCACCUGCCUUUGGCCAUGAACAUGAGCUGAGGGCCAAGGGUUACCUAUGAAUGAUUUCAAAAACUCCAAACAGCAGCCAGCUGGUGUUGUAUGCCAGUAGCUUGGGAGGCUGAGGCAGGAGGAUCCCGAGUCCAAAGCCAGCCUCAGCAAAAGCGAGGCACUAAGCAACUCAGUGAGAACCUUUCCCUAAAUAAAAUACAAAAUAGGGCUGGGGAUGUGGCUCAGUUGUCGAGUGCCCCUGAGUUCAAUCCCUAUUACUGCUCCCCCCCAAAAAACCCCCAAACAACUCCAAACAUUCUUGUUUGGAAUGGUUGGCUCCAUCUUCCAGAUGAGGAAAAGAGAGGCUACACAGAAUAAGUAAGUGGCAGAGCUACAAGAGUUGCCAGGGAUAGCCUCGGAGGUGUGUAGUGGAGGGGAGAUAUUGAGAAAAAGAAAAUGUGUGUGUGUGUGUGUGUGUGUGUGUGUGUGUGUCUGGGGACCUGGGGAGGUGCAUUCCUGUGGAGGCCCUGUGUAGCGGAGGGGAGAUAUUGAGAAAAAGAAAAUGUGUGUGUGUGUGUGUGUGUGUGUGUGUGUUUAUGCACACGCGCAUGCAAGUGCUCAUGGACAAGGACCUGGGCUACAUCAUGGAGUGCCCCUGCCAGCUGGGGAGAGGGAUAGAGAGAUGGAGGUCCAGCUGGAGGUGGCUUCUGGGUGGCUGGGAGGGGGUGGCCAGUGCGUGGCUCUGUGGUGUGGCUAGAAGGGGGUGCUGUGGAGAAGGGCAGGCUCCAUUUAACGAGAUUUUUUUGCCCUGAGUUAGAAAAUAGCUCUUUCUUCUUUUUCAGGGAGGCUGGGCUUUCUCUCCCAGGCACUGCCACAGCCUGCCCCCACUCUGGGGGCUCUGCCUGUCCCCAGGUCCCCAGCUGGAGCCCCCAGCCCUGCUCCCUAAUUCCAGCGGGGCAGGCAGCAUGCCCACAUGCCCAAUUGCCUCUCCCAGCACACACAGGUAAUUCAUCUCAGCCUCCCUCCCCGGCCCCUGCCCCCAGAUGUGCGGCCUUCCCAGCAGCCAGAGGCCAGCUCACCCCACCCAUAUCGCCGGCCAGCUGCAGCCCCUCAUUUCCCGGGGAAGAGAGAACUAAUAAAGGACAGUCUCUGAGCUGCGGCAUCCCCCCCAAUUCUUUCUUGCCACAGCCGCCCCAUAAAACUGAGGAGAGAGAUAUAAAGGGAACAAGAGUGAGUGGAGAUAGAGUUUCCGUCUGAGGAGGGGAGUGCAGCCGCAGGACGAGUGGGCUGAGGCUGGGGCCCAGGCAGAGGUGGCAGGCCCCUGGACACAGCUGCUUGGGCCUGUGCUUCCUCUUCAGGAAGGGACAGCAGUGAUAUGGGGAAGAAAAGGAUGGUAAUCCCAGUGGUUAGAGAACGCCAGGUGUGCCAAGCUGGUGGGCUUGACGUGGGCACCAGAGGUUGGGGGGUCUGGAAGGUAUCCUUUGUGGCUCCCUUCCCUGAUUCCCAGCUUGAGCCCAGCAGGAAAGCGGGAGCCCUGGCCUCCAAGUUUAGCUUUCCCACUGACAUGCUGAGUGACCUUGCUCUUUUAAUCUUUUCUCUGGGCCUCAGUCUCCUCAGCUGUGAAAUGGGCUUCAAGCACUCUGCCUUCCAAAUCAUCUGCACGUGUAUGACUUAGGGCCAGGAUGUGCUAUUGGCUAUGCUCCAUGGAGUACAGGGGAAGCCCCCAUGUUUCUCACCCGUUGGGCCUGGCAGGGCCCUUGGGAGAAGUCAGGGCUUUACAGGGCUGUGCCAGGUGCUCUGCAUUGGGCUUCAAGUGUGAAUUCUCUCUUUCUGCCAAGGAAAAGAAGGUGGGGAGAUCUUAGCCUAUAAAGCUGUCUUCUUUCCUCCUUAUGGAGCUUCUCAUAUAAUGUUGUCAUUUAUUGAACACAAUAAUUAUUUAUUGAGUAUCUUCUAUGUGUCAGGCAUUUUUGAAGAAACUAAAGACAAAGCAGUGAGCAAAAUGCAAGAAUUCUUGCCUUCAUGGGACUGAGAUAAUAGGGGACAGAGAAAUAGGGAGCAGGUCACGUUCCUCAAUAAGCCAGUUCAUCUAGGUAUGGGGUGCAUACUUGUAACCCCAGUGACUCAGGAGGCUGAAGCCAAAGGAUCACAAACUGGAGGCUAGCCUCAGCAAGUUAGUAAGGUCCUAAGCAAUUUAGUGAGACCUUGUCUCAAUAAAUAAAUAAAUAAAUAAAUAAAUAAAUAAACAAAUAAAGGGCUGGUGAUGUGGCUCAGUGGUUAAGCAUCCCUGGGUUCAGAGUAAGGGUUGAUGGCAGGAAGCAAGGCCAGGCGUCUCUGGGUCAUGCCAGGUUCUGUCCUCCCGGGCAUUGCUCUCAGAGGGGAGCCCCUAUGCCCUUCCCCCACAAAAUCCCCUGUGCCCACACUAGGCCAGCCAAUCCCUGUGUCUGGGUCCUAGAAGGAAAGAUGGCCACUUUCAGAACUGGGAACAUGUUCCUCCCCUGCCCACGUGCUCUACCUGUUUGGAAGACAGGUGAUGCCCUGUGAGGUGGCUCUGAGUGGGCCCUCAUGUCGGUCCCAUGCUCUUUACCAACUUUCCUGGUCACAGAGGGACUGUGCUGCUAGGGCCCCUGAUGCCUGAGAGACAUGGUGGGAAGACUAUGAAUGAGGGCUCAGAUGAGCCAGCUCUAACUCCUCCUGCCAUUCACUCCCCAGCACACAGGGGGCAGGAGGUGGAUCACUGUUUACAUUGCUUGUCAGGAAAAUGGCGAAUGCCAUGAUGUAGGAGAGACGACUUUGCAAAUGGCAACUCUUCCAGACAUGAGCGUCUAUUAGAGUCUGUCCCUGCAUUUUCUCAGGUUCUUCCUUGAAGUGGGACUUGAGUAAUUCUCUGUGGACUGAGUCCUUACUUUUGCAGCAGCCUCCAGGCUCCUUGGCCCAGAGCACCUGGGUUCCCAAUGCAGCUGGAGAGCAGACAGUCCAAAGCAGUUGGUGUUUGCUCUGCAGAUUGAACCCUUUCUUUGGAUCUGCCAUUUGCCUAGUUGUAUGUCCUGGGCCACAAGUCCUUUGGCUUCCUGAAGCUCAGGGAAUAUACAGCCAUCUUUUGUCCUCCCUCAAGGUUUAAUUGGGACAAUCAUUCCCAGGGCCAGAUUCAGGAAGGAUCUGGCACAGUGAUUGGGACUUCCCAAGAAGAGCCAGGCCUGGUGCCACCAGCCAACCAUCCAUUCUGUCAUGGGUCAGUAUGGCCCCCAGAUAUGGGUCGAAAUCCCUGAAAGUGUCACUGGAGCAUGUUUCAGAUAUCCCUGCUCACUCCAGGGAGAGGUGAGGUGAGGGUCAUUCUCAGCCCUCACAGGGAGCACGAAGAGCAAGGGAGGGCAACUUGGAGAGGAGGCCAGGUCCAGAGCUCAAGAGACAAGAAGCCCCAGCCACUGAGAGACAGAGAAAGUUCAAGAAAUGGGGGGUGGAUGUGGGGAGAAAAAAAUGGCAUGAGGUGUACAGACAAGCAGAGACUGGGGGAGUUGGGAGACUGAGCAAGGGAUCAAGGCAAGAGAAGGACUGGGAAGAAUGUCAUAUACUGAUGUGUGUGAGACAGAGAGAUGGAGAGAUGGGAACUCCUUCGAGUCAUUUGUGCCAUGGGGAGCGAGCAUGAGUGUGAAUGUUCCCAUAAACCAAAGGCUGAGCUCAGCACAGCUGUGCUCACCUGUAAUCCCAGUGACUUGGGAGGUUGAGGCAGGAGGAUCAAGAGUUUGAGUCCAGCAUCCAGCCUGUGUCAAAAUAAGAAAAUAAAAGGGCAGGGGAUGUAGCUUAGUGGCAAAGUGUCCCUGGGUUCCAUUUCUUACAAAAGACAAGACAAAACAAAAAGACAACAAAGUUAGAAAGUCAGGAUGAUGAUUCCUCUGGCCUGCCUCUCGGUGCAGGCCAGGAGCACGGGUUCUGGGAAGCAGGCUGGGCUGCACAGGGCGGGGCCAGUUGGUGUGAGGAGUUAAGUGUGGCAUGUUGAACACUCCAAAAUGUCUGACUCCCCGGUCAAGAGAAGCCCCUGGGACAUGUGGUUGCAUCCCACCACUGCAGUGAAAGACGGAGAGGGUGCUGGAAGGAAAACAGGUGGAAAGUGGAGGAGGGUGGACCUUGGCACAGGUAGGGGACUCUGCAGGGUCAAUUGCAGAGGUCCCUACCCCUCUGCUUGCAGGCUUUUUGCAGGGAGUAGGGCAAUGGAGAUUGAACUUAUGGGUGCUUUACCACCAGACUACAUCCUUAAUUCUUUUUUUUUUUUUUUUUUUUUGAGACAGGAUGUCAGUAAGUUGCUAAGGGUUGCACUAAAAUGCUGAGGCUGGCCUCAAACUUGUGAUCCUCCUGCCUUAGCCUCCUGAGUGCCUGAUUACAAGCUUGAGUCAGAGUGCCUGGUUCUACCUGCAAGCUUUUUCAAGGUUGCUGGAAAGGGGUUGGGAUCUGCUGCCAGUGAAUCUGCUGCCCCUGUGGACAAGCCGAGGCUUCAUCUAGGCUUAGGGCUUAGCUUCUGUGGGGCACAGUUUCACCCCCUGAUUGACCACUUGUCCUAGCCAUACUGACGUCAGUCAACAGGAUCAGGGAAGAUGAGUAGAGUUGGUGGUGAUUGGCAGAGUGGGCCAGGUGGGAGAAGCCGACAGCUAAACCCCAGCCCUGUUGUCCUGCUGCCAAGGAGGCCUAGAGGAUACCCCAGCAGCUGUCCCUGAGUGCUCCUGACCCAGGACAGAGGAUCCAACACUCUUACUUUCCAGGUUCACAAACGGAGGCCACAAAGAGAUCCCAGCCCCACUCUCGUCAUUGUCCCCCGGAGGCUUUGUUUCUAGAAGGGUGCAGGUUCCUUCCCCUUGGUUCUCCAUCUCCCUUGAGGAUCCAAAAGAAAAGUUGGUUCUGCAGCAAAGACCAAGACAUGUGAUAGUGCAAUGCCCAGCAUGGAGGUGCGGACAUGGCGUCUCAGGGCCCAGGGUGAUUUGUGCACAGUCGCACAGCCAGUGAGAGCUACAGCCAGGACAGAACCUCUGCUUGUGUCGCUCCAAAUCUGCCAAUUUUUUUGGUUGGUUGCUUUAUUUUAUUUCUUCAUUUUUUUUUUUGAGGGACAGAGGAAAUGAUAAAAGUAAUGCACAUUUUCUAUAGAGAUUAGAAAACCACACACAAGAAAAUAGAAUCCAAAGUCCUACUAACCAGGAAAAGCCAUUGGUACCUUUUUUUUCUUUUUAUUAGUCUGGGUACUCAAGAGUGCACUACCAUUGAGCUACAUCCCCAGACCUUUUCAUGUUGAGACAGGACUGUGCCAAGUUGCCCAUAUUGGCCUUGGAUUUGUGCUCCUCCUGCCUCUGGAGUAGCUGCAAUAACUGGCAUGUGGCAAUGCACCCAGCUUAACUUUUUUUUUUUGGUACUGGGGAUGGAACCCAGGGGUACUUGACUACUGAGCCCCAUCCCCAGCCCUAUUUUGUGUUUUAUUUAGAGACAGGGUCUCACUGAGUUGCUUAGUGCCUUGCUUUUGCUGAGGCUGGCUUUGAACUUGUGAUCCUCUUGCCUCAGCCUCUAGAGCUGCUGGGAUUACAGGCAUGUGCCACUGCGCCUGGCUAAAAUCUUCCAUCUUGCAGGACUGAAACUGUAUACCCAUUGCACAGCAGUCCUGCAUUCUCCCUCUCUGCCAGUCCCUGCAGCCAUCCAUUCUCUAAUUCUAUGAAUUUGACUAUUUCACAUUCCUCAUGUGAGUGGGAUCCUGCAGGUUUUGUACUGUGUGUGGCUUGUGACACUAUGUCCUCAAGGUUCACCCAUGUUGGAGCAUGUGACAGGAUUUCCAUCUAUUUUAAAGUUGAAUAAUAUAAUGUUGCAUUGUGAAUAUGUGUAUGAGAGAGAGAGAGAGAGAGAGAGAGAGAGAGAGAGAGAGAGAGAGAGAGAGAAGGAAGGAGAAAAUGAAGGAAACAGGGAGAGAGAGAGAGAGUCUGUUUCCACAUCUAGGGUUUCAAUGUGUUUGGAGAAAUCUCCAGAAGCAGGCUUGCUGAAUCACCUGGUCAUUGUAUUUUUGUUCAUGGAACCUCCAUGCUGUUUCUGGGUGACUGCAUCCUUGGACGCUCCCAGCCACAGCUCACGAGCCCUCCCUUUUCUCCCCGCCCUCCCCAGCGCUGGCCAUCUUUUGCUCAUUUUGAUGGUGGCCCUCGGAACAGGGGCAGGGUGGUAUCUGAUGGUGGUUUUCAAUGAUAUCUCCCUUCCCAUAGACCUGCAGGCCAUUCGUUUCUCUUCUUUUGGACACCCCCUUUUGUACCCUGGUGUUCCCGUAUGCCAUCCACCACAAACAUUUCUCCACAUAUUCUUUGCUCUGUGGCCAGGCGCAGUGGUGCAUGCUGGUAAUCCCUGCAGCAGCUCAGGAGGCUGAGGCAGGAGGACUGCAAGUUUGCGACCAGCCUCAGCACCUUAGAGAGACUCUGUGUCUAAACAAAAUAUUUUUAAAAGGUGGAGCUGUGUAUGGCUUAGUGCUUAAGCACCCCUGGGUACCAAAAAACAAAACAAAACAAAAAACUAAUACUGGUUCUAUACAAUCCUUUCCAGGAAAUAGAAGAGGAAAGAACAUUUCCCAAUUCAUUUUUUGAAACUAAAAUCCUGGUUCUAAGAUCAGACAUACACAGGACAAAAAAUUGAAAACUAAAGAACAAAAAUGCUGCUGGACACAGUGUGCACACUUGUGAUCCCAGUGGCUCAGGAGGCUGAAGCAGGAGGAUUGCAGGUUUGAAGCCAGCCUCAGCAACUUACUGAGGCUAUAAGCAACCUAGUGAGACCCUGUCUCUAAAUAAGAUUUAAAAAGGGCUGGGGAUGUGGCUCAGUGGCUGAGUAUUCCUGGGUUUGAUUCCCAGUACCGAAAGAAAAAAAAACACUUUUUUUUUCUUUGCCCCUUCCUUCACCCUGAAGGCAGGGGUGUGAACUUUGAGAGCCUAGAAGCCCUGUGACGCCUCUGUCAGUUCUGGCACAGGGGCAGUGGUGUCAGGCUGCCGGGGGAGAGGUGGGAAUCAAUCCAAGGCAGUCUCUGUAGCACUCAAGCUGGGAGGAUCAACCUUGGUGGCAGACAAUCCGAGGUUCAAGUCCAGAUUUUGCCACUUGCAGGCUGCCCGGCUGUGGGCCAGUCAGUUUGCCUGGGAUCCCUGGUUUCCCCAUCUAUAAGAUAGAGACAAUGGUGCCCUCCAGUUCCUGGCCCUUGUGUGUGGCCUUGCUUUAGCUAGUGCAUGCCACAACCUCACCCACAGGGAGGCCCUGUGGAAGUCAGCUGUUCUCACUGUGGGAACGGCACGGCCUGGCCAGUGCCCACAGCUCUCUCGCCUCAUUUUCUUCACUCCUGCUCUUGUAAUGGAUGCGGUCUUUGAGGCCUGGUUUUCUCGAGAUCUCCAUGAACAGAGGCAGAAGGGAGGCAGGUGCUGUGGACAGGGUGUUUCUGCCUGUCUCCCCAAUCCGUGUGUUGAAACCUUCACCUCCAAUGUGAUAGUAUUUGGAGGUGAGGCCCUCAUGAUGACAUUGUCACCCUCAUAAGAAGAGACACCAUACUAAGGAGCUUGCUUCCUCUCUCUAACAUCGGCCAUGCGAGGAUACAAUAAGAAGGCCAUCUCCAGACCAGGAGGCAGGUUCUCAGCACACUGGGUCUGUCAGCACCAUGAUCCUGGAGUCCCCGGGUUCCAGAACUGGAAGACAUCAGUCCAUUGAUGGGAGAGAGCCAGUGGGCAGAGAUGGUAGGUGUGAGGCAUGCAGGACCCACCAGCUCCUCCUUCUCCUUGUGGGUCAGCCUUGCCUCCAGCAGCCCGUGUCCCUGGGGUAGAGGCUCAUCUAGGCUAUUAUCCAGCUGUGACGUGGUGGGGCCUCUGGCCAGAGAAGGGCUAGGCUGAGCUACACUGCUCUAGAGAGCCAUGCUGUGGGUCUGGGUUCCAUCCAUCAACACCCGGGGGAAUGCAAGCAUUGGAUUUUGGCACCUGUUGGGAGAGUUACAGGAAAGGAGGAGGCCAGAGCCCCUGAGGCUGGGAUCGAGCAGAACUGAGUUGGCCUCGUCCCAUUUCAGAACCAGUUGAUGAAUUUAGCUUUAUAAUGAUAGAGGCAACAUCUCGUAAGGGAUUACUGCCAGCUCUGCUCCCAUGUUAUAGCUGACAAAACUGAGCUCAGGGAGGGCAAAACACUUCCCUAAGGUCACACAGCUAGUCAGUAGCCACAAAGCUGCAGACAACCAUCACAGUACUUCCAGGCAACAGGGUCAUCACCUUUGAGCUCACCUCUCUGAAGAUCUUUCUGUUGUAACUGGGCCAAGGUCAGUCUUUGAAACUGGCCCUCCUGUGGCUUGCAAGAAGAACUUCAACAUGGGAGAGUGCUUGGAAUAUGUUGAAUCUAAUUCUUUCCAUUGUACAGUUAGAGACACUGAGGCCAGGAGAGGAGAAAGGAUCAGUAUACAUUGACCAUCACUUCCAUGUCAUCAGGUAGGACGCAAAGGUGAGUACUGGUCUAGCUUCUCUGGAGAUUACAGGUAGAACUAAAAGGUACAUGGGAUAUAGGUCAGAUAAGAGGAUGAACUUCCUUGCAAGGCUCUAUGAUCAUACAACCUUAGCAUGUCCCCGCAGAAAGGAACCAGAGGAAGAUUCUAAACCAUAGGUUUGAAAACAAGUUGUAGUCACUGCAUAACUUGAAUCCUAUGCAGGGAACCCCACUCCAGCAUCAUUAUCAAAUAGCCUGUCCUGCACAGAAAUGUAGAGCUAUGGCUCUGAGUCCAUGUCCCGCAAGGCAGCACUGAUUAGCCUCUUUGGGUAUCCUUCCUAGGCGCACUGUGCCCUCUAAUUGAUCCCCUUGGGUCCCCCUCCUGCUGACCUGCCAGAUCUCUGAGAAAAACUCUUCCACUUUCUUUAGCGUCUCCCUCGAGUCCCUGCAUCUCCGCAUCCAUUGCAAGAGUCUGCGUGGACCACGGGUGGCCGGCCAGCGGGCAGGGGGCGGGGAGGGCGCAGGCAGCGCCAUGGCCAGGGCCUUGACAGCUGUGGCCAUGUGGAGACACUGGCAUGGCUCCCCCUGCAGUCUGGUACUGUGCCCGGGGAACUGCCCUUUGUCUUUAGGCCAUAAGGUACACUAAGGCGGGACAUGUCAGUCCACAGGGCCACCACCUCUGGGGCCAGUGGACUCCUGCAGUCCCCGCAGGUGGUGCUGGGAAUUGAUGACGUGAACAGUGCCAGCAGGAGGCUUUUCAUUUCUCAUCAAGUUCAUUCAAUCGCUUUCCCUCCCCGCCCCCUCUGGGCAUUGAACCUAGGACCUCUGAGUAGUGGGGCAAGUGUUCUACCACUGAGCCACACCUCUCGCCCUAGGGGACCAUUUUUCAUCACUCCUUCUUGAGGCCCAAGAGUGUCUGGGCCCCUUUCUCUGGGUAAUAUUCCAGGCAGAGAAGGAGACUAAAUUGGACAAAGUGAGCACCUAGUAUGUGCCAGGUUUUAGGUCAGGUGCUUCUCUUCUAUGUUUCCCUUUCAUCCUCAAACCCCUGAGGCAGGUGUGACGGUCCCCUUUUAUAGAUGAAUGACCCAAAGCCUACAGGGGUUGGACACUCUUUGUGUAAGGGCACCUGGAGCACACAGCUGUCCCCAAGCCUUCCCCCACCUCCACCGCCCCUACAAAGCGGGAAGACCCAGAAAGCUGCACGGGGGAAAGGGGAGUAGGAGGAACAGGCUGGGAAGAUGCAGAGAGCUGCCCCCAGCCCCGAAACUGGCAGCUCGGCCUCCUGCCCAGAGGGGUGUGGCUCUGGAGGGACCUUCUGGGAAUAGAGAGAAAUUCAUUAGCAGAUGUGCAAGUCCCCAAGUGAUUACAGAUCGAUGCUCUGAGCUCCAUCAGCAGGGGGGUUAUGUUUAUUAUCUGACUUGGCCCAAAGGCCCCCCAGUCCCACCUCUCCAUACUUCUUUCCCCUCCUCCUGAGGUGCUCAGGCCCACUCCGUCUGCCUCCUCCCAGGCCUCUCUUCAAUCCACACAGCCUAGGCCAGUUCCCAGAACAGACACACUGGGGAUGGAAGUGGUGGGGAAUGAGGGGUGGCAGGGUGCCGGGAUUACCUCCUGAACAGCAGGCUCAUUUGCUAAUCUGAGCUUUGUUCAUUUCAGGGACCAAAGAGGACUUCAUUUCCAUUUUGGGAUAGGCCAGAAGGAAAGAGAGUGGGGAACUACAGCAGUAAAGAUAAAGGAUGGAUAAUAAGAGGAACUUCCAGUUGCCAUCGAGCUUUGAUUCCUGGACUGGGGUACACAUACUGCUUGGCUAUGGGAAAAGGGCUGGAAUGGAAAUGACACAGGCUGGGCCUGUAGCCAAUGGGAACUUCCCCGUAGAAGAUGCCACUUAAAAGUGUUAUUAAACCCUCAGGACUUUUAAAGUGGAGAACAAGGUAACUAUGAACACCCUUUAAAGUGAUAUUGAGAGUUCCCAAGAGACGUCCGUGUCUUUCUCACUUCCCCCUGUCUUGGGAUGGAGACAUGUGGCUCCUGCGACAUCCCCCUCCUACCAGUUUCUUCUCUGUCUUCCAGCCCAGCCCCUACCCACUAUGGGGCCUUGAGCCAACAAGUCCGCAUUGAUUCAGGGGCUUCUCUGGAGUAGAGACAGAGGGUGAGCCUGGCUCUGUUGAGUGGUUUUGGGGGAAGAAAAAAAAAAGCAGUAGUGACCAUGGGCCUCCACCUCCACCCAGCAACUUCCACCUUGGGCUGGGAACAUUCCUGGGUUCCAUUAUCUCCAGACUAGUAAAUUGGAAAUUAGGUGGAUUGCUAUUCCCACCAUCUUGGGAACCAACAGAGAAAUGUCACCCCAGCCUCUCCGCGCCUAGCUCUGAUGUUACUUCCCCAUCCAUGGGGCUUCCAGCUCUUCAGUCCAGGAGACUGCAGAAUGCCCUUGGCUGGCUGCCUCUGUGGGGAGUCCCACAUUCUGGAAGUCCUUCUUGAUGUCUGACAUGAAACCUUCUUGCUGCAACCAGCUCAUUUUUUUUCUCCUCAUUCUGCCCACAGAACUGUCAGAGGGAGUCUUCUUGUUUAAGUCCACGCUGUGAAUGGAACUGAGAAGGCUGAGAAGCAUAGGCUGGACUAGGAAGCUUAAAGAAACUCAAGAGUCAGACUGGGACUGUCACUAGGUGGUAAAGCACUUGCCUAGCAUGUGUGACGCAGUGAGUUCGAUCUUCAGGACCACAUAAAAAUAAAUAAAAUAAAGGGAUUGUGUCCAUCUACAGCU
rnacentral:lncRNA from 1 species